UCAAUCUCGUGCGGCUGGAAGCCGCCUGUCCCUCUAAGAAGAUUUGCUUGCACCCCCGCACCGACGAACCGCGCGCGCCGGCCUCGACCGGCGGCCCUUCGAGAUGCCGGUAUAAACGCCUAGUUAGCAGGCCAGAGUCUCGUUCGUUAU
rnacentral:rRNA from 1 species